rnacentral:rRNA from 1 species
GAUGAACGCUGGCGGCGUGCCUAAUACAUGCAAGUCGAGCGAACAGACGAGGAGCUUGCUCCUCUGACGUUAGCGGCGGACGGGUGAGUAACACGUGGAUAACCUACCUAUAAGACUGGGAUAACUUCGGGAAACCGGAGCUAAUACCGGAUAAUAUAUUGAACCGCAUGGUUCAAUAGUGAAAGACGGUUUUGCUGUCACUUAUAGAUGGAUCCGCGCCGCAUUAGCUAGUUGGUAAGGUAACGGCUUACCAAGGCGACGAUGCGUAGCCGACCUGAGAGGGGGAUCGGCCACACUGGAACUGAGACACGGUCCAGACUCCUACGGGAGGCAGCAGUAGGGAAUAUUCCGCAAUGGGCGAAAGCCUGACGGAGCAACGCCGCGUGAGUGAUGAAGGUUUUCGGAUCGUAAAACUCUGUUAUUAGGGAAGAACAAAUGUGUAAGUAACUAUGCACGUCUUGACGGUACCUAAUCAGAAAGCCACGGCUAACUACGUG